GUGUGGGAAUGAAAUUAUAGAAGCUAUGUCAGAUGCUAUGAGUGCAAAAUUUGACAAGUACUGGUCUGAUAUCCAAGGCCUCAUGGGUAUUGCUACACUCCUUGAUCCACGGUUUAAGAUUGAUAUGCUGCAUGUCUGCUUUGAAAUGCUCCUUGGUGACGAGUCCAUUAUUGAUUGUGAGAGUAAAGUUCAUGAGAUCCGUGAGUUAGUGUCUAGCCUGAUGCUUGAAUAUAAAAUGGAGAGUGAGCAAGAGAAUACAGAAGCCCAGUCUGUGUCCAUUUCUGCAAUGGAAGCUAACGAGGUGAUGUCCAUCUUCAGUGCACGAGUAGCUAGAAAGAGGCAUGCAACCAGUUUAUCCAGAACAGAGUUAGACCGCUACUUGGAUGAUGAGUAUGUGCCAGCUAAUCAAGAGAAUUUUGAUGUGUUGGAUGGUGGAAUGUUGCUGGUUCACGCUACCCAACUUUGAGGGCUAUUGCGCAUGAUAUAUUUGCCAUCCCAGUAACUAUAGUAGCUUCCGAGUCAGCUUUCAGUAGAAGUGGAAGAGUACUUAGUGAGCACCGCAGUCGUCUGACCCCUGAUUUGCAGGAGGCUUUAAUGUGUUCACAAAACUGGGAGAGAAACAAAGCUAAAGAUGAUGAGAAGACCGAGGCUGCUAGUUUCUGGAGUUGCCUUGAUGAUAUACAAGAAGGUUUAGAGUGCAUCACACUAUAGAGGGGGUUCCUUCUGUACUUCCUACAAGUCAGCUCAACUUCAACAAACAAUGAUGCCGAACACAUACCAAGGCUGUAGCUGUUAGCUUGCUACCUCUGCAAUACUUUUGCGCACGAUCAUGUUUACCUUAAGUUAGUUAUGGUCACAUGGAACCUUAUGUUGGAGUCAAUAAAUUAUGUCAAGCGAGUCAGACAAAUUUUGUAGUCAAUAAAUUAUGUCAAGCGAGUCAGAAAAAUUUCGUCCUUAUUAAA